GCUUAACACAUGCAAGUCGAGGGGCAGCAUGGUCUUAGCUUGCUAAGGCCGAUGGCGACCGGCGCACGGGUGAGUAACACGUAUCCAACCUGCCGUCUACUCUUGGACAGCCUUCUGAAAGGAAGAUUAAUACAAGAUGGCGUCAUGAGUUCACAUGUUCACAUGAUUAAAGGUAUUCCGGUAGACGAUGGGGAUGCGUUCCAUUAGAUAGUAGGCGGGGUAACGGCCCACCUAGUCUUCGAUGGAUAGGGGUUCUGAGAGGAAGGUCCCCCACAUUGGAACUGAGACACGGUCCAAACUCCUACGGGAGGCAGCAGUGAGGAAUAUUGGUCAAUGGGCGCAGGCCUGAACCAGCCAAGUAGCGUGAAGGAUGACUGCCCUAUGGGUUGUAAACUUCUUUUAUAAAGGAAUAAAGUCGGGUAUGGAUACCCGUUUGCAUGUACUUUAUGAAUAAGGAUCGGCUAACUCCGUGCCAGCAGCCGCGGUAAUACGGAGGAUCCGAGCGUUAUCCGGAUUUAUUGGGUUUAAAGGGAGCGUAGAUGGAUGUUUAAGUCAGUUGUGAAAGUUUGCGGCUCAACCAUAAAAUUGCAGUUGAUACUGGAUAUCUUGAGUGCAGUUGAGGCAGGCGGAAUUCGUGGUGUAGCGGUGAAAUGCUUAGAUAUCACGAAGAACUCCGAUUGCGAAGGCAGCCUGCUAAGCUGCAACUGACAUUGAGGCUCGAAGGUGUGGGUAUCAAACAGGAUUAGAUACCCUGGUAGUCCACACGGUAAACGAUGAAUACUCGCUGUUUGCGAUAUACGGCAAGCGGCCAAGCGAAAGCGUUAAGUAUUCCACCUGGGGAGUACGCCGGCAACGGUGAAACUCAAAGGAAUUGACGGGGGCCCGCACAAGCGGAGGAACAUGUGGUUUAAUUCGAUGAUACGCGAGGAACCUUACCCGGGCUUAAAUUGCAGAUGAAUUACGGUGAAAGCCGUAAGCCGCAAGGCAUCUGUGAAGGUGCUGCAUGGUUGUCGUCAGCUCGUGCCGUGAGGUGUCGGCUUAAGUGCCAUAACGAGCGCAACCCUUGUUGUCAGUUACUAACAGGUUCUGCUGAGGACUCUGACAAGACUGCCAUCGUAAGAUGUGAGGAAGGUGGGGAUGACGUCAAAUCAGCACGGCCCUUACGUCCGGGGCUACACACGUGUUACAAUGGGGGGUACAGAGGGCCGCUACCACGCGAGUGGAUGCCAAUCCCAAAAACCUCUCUCAGUUCGGACUGGAGUCUGCAACCCGACUCCACGAAGCUGGAUUCGCUAGUAAUCGCGCAUCAGCCACGGCGCGGUGAAUACGUUCCCGGGCCUUGUACACACCGCCCGUCAAGCCAUGGGAGCCGGGGGUACCUGAAGUGCGUAACCAAGAGGAGCGCCCUAGGGUAAAACUGGUGACUGGGGCUC
rnacentral:rRNA from 1 species